UCUGCGCAGUCGGGCGCAGGCCAGGGCCCAGCUCCUCGGCACAGGCUCUGCGGGCGGAGGCUGCUGCACACGGAGACCUGGGGCUGCAGCUGCGAGACCCUGUGGAGACAGCGGUCAUGAGGCCUGGGUCGCCCCUCUGGCCCACUGCCCGUCCCUCUGCCUGCGUGAGCAGCUGGCCCAGCCGACCCCGGCCGAACCCCCAGGCUCCAGCUGCCCGUCUCCUGCAGGAGCACCCCGUGUUCCCAUGCCCGCCAUGCAGCCUCAGAGGCUCAGCCCCAGCCCCCAGGAGCGCCCCGUCCUGGCAGGAGGGUCCCCAGCUCGCCCCUGCCCCCACCCCGCUGCACCCUCCCCCUGCUCCUGCCCCACCACGGGGUGUCUCCCCUGAACCCCCAGCCUCCCCAGCUCGGACCAGCCCCCUUCCCCACUCGGUGCAGGCAGCCCCCCCGGGCCCAGGAGAGCAGAUGUUGGGGCUGGGGGCCGGGGCCCUUCCCAGCCCGACCCACAGGUUUCACAGUUGGGGGACAGAGGUGACAGGAGGACAGCAGCGUGUGGCCCAGGGCAGCUCCCCCGGGGACAGGAGCAGGGGAGGGGGCUUCGCAGGGGAGGGAGCUGCUCGCUGUGCCGCCCUCAGGCUGCGUCUGGGGAGGGGCCCUUUUCAAGCUGCACCCCUCUUAGAUGACCCCCAGGCACCUCAGUGCGCCCAUGCUGAGCCCCAAACCCACCCCUGCCCGCACCCCACCGAGCCAGACCCUGGGGAAGGGCCUCGGAAGGAGGGUGUUGCCCAGGCUGAAGCCUCAGAGAAAGCAGAACGCUGACCGCUCUAGUCACAUCUAAACAGGGUGCGCCCCCUCCUUGGGGCCCCCCAGGCCUCCUCUGAGCCUCGGCCCUUCUCAGUGGGAGUCCCGUGGUUUCUGGGGCGCUGGGAGAUCCUGGGGAGCAGGAAGAGCUGUGGCCGCCACGGCAAGCGGCCUUUCCCCUAACCGAUGGUGAGUGGCUCCGUCCCCAGAGUUCAGGACACGCGGGCAGAGCCCUCCCAGGCCACCUGGACCCAGAUUGUCACCCAGCGGGGGCCGUGGUGUCCUGGCGAGGCUGCUGACACCAUCUUGGACCCCACGUCUGCAAAGGGUGGCGUGUCCCCAGAUCCCUAGGGGCUCACGGGGGAAUGGUGGGUCCAGCCAAGGAUGGAUUUGAGCACAGUCUGGCUCCCAUCACGACCAAGACAGAUGCAGCCGCUGUGUCCCCGAGGGAGCUCUGCAGGCCGGGGCUGGGAUCCUGCUCCCCUGGCUGCUGCUGGGGUGGGCGGGGCGCUGGUGGGGACUGUGGGGUCGGCUCACUGGGUCUGGGCAGCAGGCAGCCCCCAGGCCAUGCAGUCCUGAGGACAGAGCCUGCCGACGGGGGGUACCCCGAAGCCCAUAUUCUCUGGGUCAUGGUGGGUUGUCAGCAUGAUGCACGCAAGUGUCACGUGCCAGCCCAGCAAGGCCACACUGCAGACACUGGGAGCCCCCACCCCCUCCUGCAGGGUCCUGUGCCCCCGCCAUGCCUGAGAGCGGGACUGCUGGGGACAGGGGUGGCCUGACCCCAGGGACAGCAGCCUGUGACAGUGUUGCAGGCUCUCCUCUUGUGUUCUAACCCACUUCGUCCUCGAGUCGCUCUGUCAUCUGCUUCAACAGAACUUCAGGUCCGGGGAGAUGGCCAUGGGGGCGCUGGCCGACGCUGCCUGCUCAUUCCCAUGGUGCCGUUCUGAGGAGUGGCCCAAGGGGUCCCUGAGCAGGCGCUUGGAGGAUGCGGUUACCGGGACCCCCCAGACCCUUCUGGAAGUGAGAGCUGCCUCCUGCGUCAGCCCCUGGCCUCGGCCCAAGAAACGGCAAUUAAAAGGUGUCCGUGCCAUGGAGAGGCAUGAGCCUAGUGCCCCAAGACUGGGGAGCUGCUGAGCCAAGAGGGGCCGCGUCUGAAGUCGUUGCCCAUGGCUGCAGGGGGAACAAAGUGUCUCAGUGUCAGCACAGCAUCCAGUGGCCCUGUGCCAGGGUCCCCGAAAUACCCUGUGUGGAUGGGAGGCGAGGCGAGGUGCUGGCUUCACCUGGGCAGGUGUGGGCCCGAGCACGGGCAGGGACGGGCAGGUGAGUGAGCGGAGCCUGUGGGCAUCUGAUGGCUCCAGCACUGGGCCGGACGUGGUGGGCAGCCAGCCUGCGGGGAGGAGGAAGGCCCUGGGUCUGGGACCCAGCCUGAACGCAGGGCAGGGGCUUCCUCCCCGACCCGGGGCUCUCUCGGUCGACUCCGCACAGGCCGGGGGUGGCGCCUGCCCCCUUCCAUGGACUGGGAGGGGUCACGGGGGAGGCAAUGGCACGUCCAGGGCCCCACCUGCCCCCAUCCACCCUCCCUUUCAACCUUGGGCAAACGGCCCUCAGCCCUCCCGCCAGGACCCCCCCCCCCCGGCCCCCUGCUCCAGGGAGGCCGUCCCACCGCACAGCUGCCCUCUGCCGCCAGGCCCAGGUGGCCCUGUGGAGCAGGGGACGCAGCCAGAGGGCGGAGGGGCCGGCAGGCUCCAGACCCUCAUCCCCAGCCCCCAGCAGUGUCCAGGUGUCGGGGGCCCUUCCCAACCCCAAUCCCAUGCCAUGUGCAGCCCGGGCAGGGGCAAACCUGCUGCUGGAUCCCAGGGCUUCUCCCCAGGCGGCCGGAAUUGCUGUUUACCAGACACCCCCCGGGGGCUUCACUUCCGUCCUCUCCUGGGACCUCCCGACCUCACCCCCAGCCCUGCUGCAGAAAGAGGUCCCGGGCCCCCCCUGCCGGGCUCUCACUCCAUCAUGUCACCACCUUUAGCCCAGCCCAGGCCGACUCAGAUGGUGUCCUCGCCGUCGGGGGAGAAAUCCCACUUCCCCGAUGGGGUGGCCGCUGCCUUGCCCUGCAGGUCAGGACGCGGCCCCCAGACCAGAGGCUCUGCAGGCUGCCCUGGACGACCUCCAGGCCCAGGAAGUGAAGGGCCGAGUUUGGCUUCCCCUGGGUUUCUGCCUGACUCCCGCUUCCCCGGGGCGCUGGGCCCUCCCGGCUCCGCCAGAGAACGCCUUGCCCGAGGCAGCUGCCGAGAACUGCCCCCAUCUCAGGUUCCGCUUCCCGAAGGCUGCUCUCCCCGGGCUGCUGGGGCCACAUGCUGAGCUCCGGGCCCAGUGGACGAGGGAGGGAGAAGCCCGGCCAGGUGAGCAGGGUACCCAGUGCCGGCUCCCAGCGGGGCCGCAUCUUGAAGGCAGACCCCCAGGCCCCUCGCCGGACCUCCUGAGUGACUGCCUGGAGAGCUCAGGGAGCCCUGGGGUUCACGGCAGAGGAUGUGGUGCUUCAGGGUCCCCUGUCUCUUCUCAUCUCCAUGGAAACCUGGGGGGUAGGUACAGGGCUCAUCCCCAUUUCACAGACAAAGAGUCUGAGGGUCAGGAGGUGAUGGCCCCUUGGUGGGCAGCAGAGUGAGAUGUUUGUCCAGAUCUUCCAGAACCGGGUGUGUGGGACUCAGGGAGACUGUAGUGAGGGGCCCUGGACCCCCAAACACUCAUCCCUUCUGGUGCCCUUCCCUCAGGCCACCCCCUGACAAUCUUGGGGUGGGGCCCACAGCUCCUGGUGGCAGGUGGGGCGACGGCCGCAGCUGGGGUGCAAGCCUCCCACCUCAUCUCGUCGAUCCGUCCUCACUGCUAAAAUCCACUUCACUAAUGUGUCUUUUCUGAUUAGAAAGUAUUACAGGUAGGUCAAGAGAAUUUGGAAAGAAGAUCAAGAAGAAAAGUCAAAUCACCUGUAAACUCUCACUCAGAAAGAACAGGCUGAUGUAUUUCCUUCUGCUUUUUUGUUUCUUUUUUAUGACUUUCUAACUCCAUAAUCAUUUCUACAUUCAUUGGUUGGCUCUCUAUAGUGAGGAAUGUAUUUAUUCUUAUCAUAUGGACUCACGCAUCCUCGUUUUCUCAAUCACUUCCCAUCCUUUAUCGACACCCACUGGGCCCCUCCGAGCUGACCACGGUGCCUGUUGACACGACCCAUCGACCUCCGACCGCCUUCUGCUUUCCGGUACAGGGUGUUUCCCGCUCACCCCGACGUCCCCGACCCAGGCUCUGGUUUCUUUGCAGGAAAAAUAGUCUUUAGAAGCCAAGAUCUUCCCAGCGUGUGUGAGGUUUAUAUAAACCAAAUCUGUUUAUAUCUCUAUAUAAACCAAAUCUAUGUUUAUAUCUCUCACAUUGAGUUUUCACUGAUAACUUUGCUUCCGGUCUAACGCUGUGGGCUCCUAGCUCCCACUUUCCACCACUGCAAUUUGCAUCUCCGGACUGGGAGCCGGCCCGGCCCGUUACCUUUCUCUUAAGUCUCGAGGCCACAGGAAGUGGGUUCAGAAUUCCUGACAUACACAGCAGAGGAAAACAAGCCUAGCAGCUAGGUUUCGACAGCUGUCUUCAGAGUGUGUGUGUGUGCAUGUGCGUGUGCAUUGGCCUGCACCUGUGUGUG